rnacentral:lncRNA from 1 species
CUUUCAUGCAAGAGAAAUUUCAAUUAAGGAGAUGAUGUAGUUCCCCAGAGCCUCCAGUAUGGAUUUGACAGCGGAGAGAUGAUGGGGCUUUAUUUAUUCCAAAGGUUUACAACUCAUCUGCCUCUCGCCACACACCUCCAAGCAGUGUCACAGCCUCGCAGUGGAAUUCAUUUGAGGUUCGUUUUGUGGAGAACAAGAAGUCUGAAUUCACAUGGGCCACAUUUUUAGGGAAAAUGAAAAAUAAAUAAACCCUAAAGAGACCUUCACUUACUCUCACUAAAGUUGUAGUUGCAUGCACCUGUAUAGUAAGGGGGGGUUGACCUGUUUGGCUGCUGCUGGUUUUUGGGUGAGGAUCCUGCUCCUGCCUUGCAAUCAGCCUCAUGCCUGACACCUGUGCAGUUGCCUCUACAAUGUUUAGCUCACCACCACCUCUCUGCCAGAACGUCAGUCAUUGGUCAGCUCUCCUGACUCUGCUCCGUCUGUUCCAGCUCUUCCUUCUGAACCUCCUCCGGCUCCUUUACCUCUGGAAACCUGGGAUCUACCCUGAGACAUUCUCGACUAAAACAGUUCACCCCCCUCUGAAGGACUCCAUUCCUCCUGUCUCUCUGCGUAGAAGUGCCUCAGUGCUGCCCCUUCUGGUUUCCUGUCAAGUGCCACGCCCUUCUGAAACAGAGCCUGGCCUCUUCCUGAGUUCUGUGCAUCUUGGGGUUCAAAUGCCGUCCUUCCAAAAACCCAACAUCUUCGGCACGUGGAGCGUCGCAGACUCGAGUGGUCACAUCUUAAGAGGAGCACAGGCUGAAACUCCAGGAAAAAAAAAAACUCUGAUACAUCAGAGACAGACUGCAGCAGGGAUUGACUAGAAACUGCUGGAAGACUGAAGGUUAUUAUGCUAAUCCGAAGCAGGCCACCCACUCUGCAGGAGGUCGCACUCUCGUCAGGAUAACUAGCUUCCUACAACCUUCACUGGCAUCCAUUUCCAUUAAACACAAACUUCACAGCUGGGGGAUGAGGAAAAUUAGCCGUAUGAGUUUUAUAACAAUGUUUGUAUAUGUAAAUUCUUUGAGCACCUUGUUUAUGUUCACAUAAUUAUUAUCAAAAAGCCCCGGAAAGUGCAAAUGUCAGUCAGAAGAUGUGCUGCACUGAUUUAUUCUCUAACUAGUGAGGAUUUCUCUUGUUUACUCUGCAAAUGUCAAGAAAUCUCGUGGGAAUGUAAUUAUUUUCCUGUCAUUAGGGGAGAAAAGUUUUUCUGAAUUUGUUAAAGUUCUCUUGAUGUGUGUAUAUACACUAAUCUAAAUGUAUACAUACAUAAUCAUAUUUGCUUUUAAUCCGUUUAAUUUUGGAAGCGUUUAGAUUUUGUCAAAUUUAUUCACUCUUUUGCUUUAUUUUGAUUUUUAUUCUGGUAUAGUUUUGACUGUUUGCUUUAAUUCCUCUCAAAUCUGCUACAUUUUUUUACAUUUAGUUCAGUUUUAUUGGAGUUUAUUGAAUAAAUGUAUUUUUCUGCUAAAUCUUUUCCAUUUUUAU